GAUGAACGCUGGCGGCGUGCCUAACACAUGCAAGUCGAGCGGCAGCGAGGGGUGCUUGCACCCUGUCGGCGAGCGGCGGACGGCUGAGUAACGCGUGGGAACGUGCCCCAAAGUGAGGAAUAACUGCCCGAAAGGGUAGCUAAUACCGCAUAUUAUCUUCGGAUCAAAGGAUUUAUCCGCUUUGGGAGCGGCUCGCGUCGGAUUAGGUAGUUGGUGAGGUAAUGGCUCACCAAGCCGACGAUCCGUAGCUGGUCUGAGAGGAUGACCAGCCAGACUGGAACUGAGACACGGUCCAGACUCCCACGGGAGGCAGCAGUGAGGAAUCUUCCACAAUGGGCGAAAGCCUGAUGGAGCAACGCCGCGUGCAGGACGAAGGCCUUCGGGUUGUAAACUGCUUUUAUAAGUGAGGAAUAUGACGGUAACUUAUGAAUAAGGAUCGGCUAACUACGUG
rnacentral:rRNA from 1 species